rnacentral:rRNA from 1 species
UGAGCAAUCUGCUCUUCACAUCGGAAUAACCAUUGGAAACGAUGGCUAAUACCGAAUAUGACUUCGGAUCGCAUGAUCUGAAGUGGAAAGCUCCGGCGGUGAAGGAUGAGCUCGCGGCCUAUCAGCUUGUUGGUGAGGUAAUAGCUCACCAAGGCAUGACGGGUAGCCGGCCUGAGAGGGUGACCCGGCCACACGUGGGACUGAGACCAGCCCA